rnacentral:lncRNA from 1 species
UAAAAGGCCUUUGCUUGUGCAAAACCAUUUAGAUGUACCACUCUGAUUUGAUGGCCACUGAGACCAGUGGAGUUGAAUAGAUCCAGAUGAGAAGACAGAACAUACACAUAGAAAGUUCGGCCAUCCAGCUGGAGAACCACCUGGAGCUUGAGGCUGUUGUGAGAGAAACUUCUCCUCAAAUGUUGACUUUGUAGAACUACUAGAUCUUGAGGAAAGCCA